rnacentral:tRNA from 1 species
GUCAGGAUGGCCGAGUGGUCUAAGGCGCCAGACUNCAGUUCUGGUCUCUGUAUAGAGGCGUGGGUUCGAACCCCACUCCUGACA